CGCCGUCACUGCCCUCUCCCGCUGAAGCCGCCGCCGCACCAGCCCUCUCCCACCGUCGCCUCCCCAGCUCUCCCCCGCGCCUCCGGAUCUGCGCCGGCCUUCCCUCCCCUGACGUCGCUGGUUCCGGAUCCGCGAUUUCCGGCCCUUCCCCUGACACCACCUGCCUCCGGAGCCGCGCCGUCGCCCCUGCACUUGCCCUGACGCCGCCUGCCUCUCUGUGCGCCGGACUCCUCUGUUGCAGCUGCAGGCCUUUUGGUAUAACAGUUUUUGAAGAACUGUCCGUUAUAUUGUGAAACUAGGAUCCUGAUCGUUAUGGACCAGCAACCUCAAAAUGAUGCUGAUUUUCUUGAGCCAUCAGUACUCUUAGAUGAGACACAUUACCAGGAGGGGUACAAAAAUGGUUAUCAUGAUGGCCUGUCAUCAGGGAAGGAAGAUGGAAGGCAGGUUGGUUUAAAGAUGGGUUUCCAGGUCGGUGAAUAACUGGGUUUCUAUCAGGGCUGUGUGGAUGUGUGGACAUCCGCAACUCGCAUUGAUCAGAAUGUGUUCUCAGCUAGGGUCAUGAAGAACAUCGAGCAACUAGCCGCACUGGUAAGCAGCUAUCCACUCUCUGAUCCGGAGAGUGAACAAGUUCAAGACGUGAUGGAGAAGAUAAGGCUGAAAUUCAGGGUUAUCACUGCAAGCUUAGGGCUGAAGUUGGAAUAUGAAGGUCGCCCGGCAUCAUCGAAACAGGAUGUUGAGGAUCUGUGAGGGUGACGAAAAUUUUGGUCCUUACCUUAUCUUUGCCGUAUCUAGUUCUCCCAAUUCUGUGUUCAGAUCAUUGGUAUCAUGAAGAAUUUGCCGCGAGAUAACGGUCAAAGCAUGAAUCAGUAUACUGCUGUAACCUUGCCUUCAGUUUUGUCUUAACUGCUCUCUCAUCCAUGAUUAGACUUUACUCUUUAAGGGGUUCACCAGAGAUCCACAAGUAUGUUUAAUUGUGGAGUGAUUCUCUCUCUCUCUCUUUCACAACUCAAAAAGCAUUAUCCUAUAUCAUCGAGUGUAUACCAGCACCCCCCUUAUCCGUUUUCGUUUAUGCUAUUAAUUCUGCUUUAAGCUGCCAUA